ensembl:lncRNA
AUUGGCAUGUGUUUUCCAUUAGUGUCUACAAUAAAGUCUUUAUAUGAGCACAUUUUUGACCAGAAAAUGAUUCACAUCCAACCCUGUAAUGGUAGAUAGGGCUCAGCCUUGCAAGGACUAGUCUUCUUGUUAACUUAGAAAGCAUCUUGUAACGGGAAAGCAUCUGUCCUGAAUCAAGCUGUUUUGGCUUCCUUGUACUGCAUGGGAGGUAGAUGUGCUGACACUGGAGAAUUAAGACAGCUGAGGGCAGAGGUGCCUAAGCUUUCCCAGACACAGUACUGAAAAACUUUCUUCCCAACUCUUGACCAGGAAUGAAAGAUUCAUUCUGCUUUGGAUGAACAGUCAUAAAUCUGCGCUGGAAUUUAGAGAACUUAAUUAUUUCUUAAAAUGAUUGAAUUUUUUCAUCCUUUUGGUUCUACUUCCUUUAAAUCCAAGUACCCAGUGAUACGAUGCCAUUUUCACUUGGGAGCUGAAACGUGCAAGGGUUGAUGCCUGCCACUCUAUUUUGCAUACUCAAAUUACCCACUGAGUAGUGGAAGAACUGUUUCAGAUGCCUGCCAUCAGACUUUAUUACAGACCUGUGCCAGAUGGGGAACAAGUGGCACCCUCAGUCUGUGCAUUCUGCUACAGGGAGUGAAUGCUGAGCAUCCUGAUUCAGAUCCCAAAUUAGUGACUUUAGCUACCCAAGCUGCCAGUGGCAGUGCUAGUAAUAAACCCAGGCAUGUCACUAUCAAGUGACUGUGCAUUGGAUCCAAAUACACUGAAAAAUUCACUUCAGCAUUAAAA